GACGAACGCUGGCGGCGUGCUUAACACAUGCAAGUCGAACGGAAAGGCCCUGCUUUUGUGGGGUGCUCGAGUGGCGAACGGGUGAGUAACACGUGAGUAACCUGCCCUUGACUUUGGGAUAACUUCAGGAAACUGGGGCUAAUACCGGAUAGGAGCUCCUGCUGCAUGGUGGGGGUUGGAAAGUUUCGGCGGUUGGGGAUGGACUCGCGGCUUAUCAGCUUGUUGGUGGGGUAGUGGCUUACCAAGGCUUUGGCGGGUAGCCGGCCUGAGAGGGUGACCGGCCACAUUGGGACUGAGAUACGGCCCAGACUCCUACGGGAGGCAGCAGUGGGGAAUAUUGCACAAUGGGCGGAAGCCUGAUGCAGCAACGCCGCGUGCGGGAUGACGGCCUCCGGGUUGUAAACCGCUUUCGCCUGUGACGAAGCGUGAGUGACGGUAAUGGGUAAAGAAGCACCGGCUAACUACGUG
rnacentral:rRNA from 1 species